rnacentral:sRNA from 1 species
GGACCGGAAGUGGGGGGGCGGAAGUGCAGUGGGCUCAGCGCCGACUGCGCGCCUCUGCCCGCGAAAACUCUGAACUGGCUGACAGCUGGGGACGGGUGGCGGCCCUCGAGUGGAGUCGGUUGAGUUCCUGAGGGCCCCCGGUUCUGGAAGGUUCGCCGCGGAGACAAGUGAGCAGUCUGCGCCGUAGGGAUUCUCGAAGAGAACAGCGUGUGUCCCAGUGCACAUGCUCGCAUCGCUUACCAGGAGUGCCUGAGACCCUAAGAUGUUCGAAGUGGUUUUUUCACACAGACCCGAAUAGCCUGUCCCUCAGCCACGCUCUGUGCCCUUCUGAGAACAGGCUGAUAUGCCCAAGAUAGUCCUGAAUGGUGUGACCGUAGACUUCCCUUUCCAGCCCUACAAAUGCCAACAGGAGUACAUGACCAAGGUCCUGGAAUGUCUGCAGCAGUCCUUGAGGGUGAUGGACUUAGGAGUGCCUUGGGGGCCUCUCUGAGGAGCAGCUGGUAUUCACGGGUCAGGGGGAAGCGUUUCCAUUAGAGGGGCAGCCGGUGGCCAGCCUCACUUUGAAGAAGGUGAAUGGCAUCCUGGAGAGCCCUACGGGUAC